rnacentral:rRNA from 1 species
AGAAUCAACGCUGGCGGCGUGCCUAACACAUGCAAGUCGAACGCGAAAGGGGAGCAAUCCCUGAGUAGAGUGGCAAACGGGUGAGUAACACGUGGGUGACCUGCCUUCGAGUGGGGGAUAACGUUCCGAAAGGAACGCUAAUGCCGCAUGACAUCCUGCUUUUGGAAAAGCGGAGAUCAAAGCUGGGGAUUCGCAAGAACCUAGCGCUUGAAGAGGGGCCCGCGCCUGAUUAGCUAGUUGGUGAGGUAACGGCUCACCAAGGCUACGAUC